UGGGGAAUAUUGCACAAUGGGGGAAACCCUGAUGCAGCGACGCCGCGUGAGCGAAGAAGUAUUUCGGUAUGUAAAGCUCUAUCAGCAGGGAAGAAGAAAGUGACGGUACCUGACUAAGAAGCUCCGGCUAAAUACGUGCCAGCAGCCGCGGUAAUACGUAUGGAGCAAGCGUUAUCCGGAUUUACUGGGUGUAAAGGGAGCGUAGGCGGUGCUAUAAGUCUGAUGUGAAAGCCCGGGGCUCAACCGCGGGACUGCAUUGGAAACUGUAGGACUGGAGUGUCGGAGGGGUAAGUGGAAUUCCUAGUGUAGCGGUGAAAUGCGUAGAUAUUAGGAGGAACACCGGUGGCGAAGGCGGCUUACUGGACGACAACUGACGCUGAGGCUCGAAAGCGUGGGGAGCAAACA
rnacentral:rRNA from 1 species